GGCUCAGAUUGAACGCUGGCGGCGUGCUUAACACAUGCAAGUCGAUCGGUAACAGGUGUAGCAAUACAUGCUGACGAGAGGCGGACGGGUGAGGAAUAUUUGGGAAUCUGCCCAUCAGCGGGGGACAACCCGGGGAAACUCGGGCUAAUACCGCAUACGCUCUACGGAGGAAAGCCGGGGACCGCAAGGCCUGGCACUGAUGGAUGAGCCCAAAUCGGAUUAGCUAGUUGGCGGGGUAACGGCCCACCAAGGCGACGAUCCGUAGCUGGUCUGAGAGGACGAUCAGCCACACCGGAACUGAGACACGGUCCGGACUCCUACGGGAGGCAGCAGUGGGGAAUAUUGGACAAUGGGGGAAACCCUGAUCCAGCGACGCCGCGUGGGUGAAGAAGGCCUGCGGGUUGUAAAGCCCUUUCGGUAGGGACGAAAACUCUUGCCCUAACAAGGCAGGAGCUUGACUUAACCUACAUAAGAAGCACCGGCUAACUCUGUGCCAGCAGCCGCGGUAAUACAGAGGGUGCGAGCGUUAAUCGGAAUUACUGGGCGUAAAGCGCACGUAGGCGGCUUUGUAAGUCGGAUGUGAAAUCCCCGGGCUCAACCUGGGAACUGCACCCGAAACUACAUUGCUAGAGUAUGGGAGAGGGAGGCGGAAUUUCCGGUGUAGCAGUGAAAUGCGUAGAUAUCGGAAGGAACAUCAGUGGCGAAGGCGGCCUCCUGGACCAAUACUGACGCUCAGGUGCGAAAGCGUGGGGAGCAAACAGGAUUAGAUACCCUGGUAGUCCACGCCCUAAACGAUGAGAACUGGAUGUCGGGAGGGUUUGCCUUCCGGUGUCGUAGCUAACGCGAUAAGUUCUCCGCCUGGGAAGUACGGCCGCAAGGGUGAAACUC
rnacentral:rRNA from 1 species